CGGGGGGAGCAAGCGUUGUUCGGAUUUACUGGGCGUAAAGGGCGCGUAGGCGGCCACCGCAAGUCGACUGUGAAAUCUCCGGGCUUAACCCGGAAAGGUCAGCCGAUACUGCGGGGCUAGAGUGCAGAAGGGGCAACUGGAAUUCUCGGUGUAGCGGUGAAAUGCGUAGAUAUCGAGAGGAACACCUGCGGCGAAGGCGGGUUGCUGGGCUGACACUGACGCUAGUGCGCGAAAGCUAGGGGAGCGAACGGGAUUAGAUACCCCGGUAGUCCUAGCCUUAAACGAUGAAUGCUUGGUGUCUGGGGUUUUAUAGUCCCCGGGUGCCGUCGCUAACGCUUUAGGCAUUCCGCCUGGGGAGUACGGUCGCAAGACUG
rnacentral:rRNA from 1 species